GUACUGAUGAAGAGUCCUAAUCUAGGGCGAAACAGCUGUCUAGUAC
rfam:Trichobilharzia regenti genome assembly, scaffold: TRE_scaffold0045921